rnacentral:rRNA from 1 species
CAUGAAGCUGGAAUUGCUAGUAAUGGCAGGUCAGCAUACUGCCGUGAAUACGUUCCCGGGCCCUUGUACACACCGCCCGUCACACCAUGAGAGUUGGGAAUACCCGAAGCCUGUGAGCUAACUUUUUAAGAGGCAGCAGUCGAAGGUAGAAUCAAUGAUUGGGGUGAAGUCGUAACAAGGUAUC